UACGAAGGGUGCAAGCGUUACUCGGAAUUACUGGGCGUAAAGCGUGCGUAGGUGGUUUGUUAAGUCUGAUGUGAAAGCCCUGGGCUCAACCUGGGAAUUGCAUUGGAUACUGGCAGGCUAGAGUGCGGUAGAGGAUGGCGGAAUUCCCGGUGUAGCAGUGAAAUGCGUAGAGAUCGGGAGGAACAUCUGUGGCGAAGGCGGCCAUCUGGACCAGCACUGACACUGAGGCACGGAAAGCGUGGGGAGCAAACAGG
rnacentral:rRNA from 1 species